ACAAACUUGGUCAUUUAGAGGAAGUAAAAGUCGUAACAAGGUUUCCGUAGGUGAACCUGCGGAAGGAUCAUUAUUGAAUCAAUUGAGUUGCUGCUGGCUCUUAGGAGCAUAUGUGCACACUUAAUUCAAUUUUCUCUAACAAUAAUCCUUAUGUGCAUCUUUUGUAGAUCUCAAACAAAUCAAGGUAGUAUUUGCUGCCUUGGAUAGAGGAUUGCCGAGCAAUAAUUAGCCAGCUUUUCUUAUGUUUUGAAUCUAUGUUUAUAUAAACUCAGAAUAUUGUAGAGGACUAUCAUGGAUAAACGAGGCCUUUGUGCCUUUAAAACAUAAAAUACAACUUUCAACAACGGAUCUCUUGGUUCUCGCAUCGAUGAAGAACGCAGC
rnacentral:misc_RNA from 1 species